GAACGACUCUCGGCAACGGAUAUCUCGGCUCUUGCAUCGAUGAAGAACGUAGCGAAAUGCGAUACUUGGUGUGAAUUGCAGAAUCCCGUGAACCAUCGAGUCUUUGGACGCAAGUUGCGCCCGAAGCCAUUAGGCCGAGGGCACGCCUGCCUGGGUGUCACAC
rnacentral:rRNA from 1 species